rnacentral:rRNA from 1 species
UAUCUCUGUAGAGUCUGCAUAUCAAUAAGCGGAGGAAAAGAAACUAACAUAGGAUUCCCUCAGUAACGGCGAGUGAAGCGGGAAGAGCUCAAAUUUGAAAUCUUCAAGGUUUUACCUUGACGAAUUGUAGUUUAAAGAAGUGUUUUCUGUUGGAUGUUUUGGUAAAAGUUCUUUGGAAUAGGACAUCAUAGAGGGUGAGAAUCCCGUAUUUGACCAGUUACUUUCCAGCUGUUGUGAUACACUUUCAAAGAGUCGGAUUGUUUGGGAAUGCAGUCCAAAAUGGGUGGUAAAUUUCAUCUAAAGCUAAAUAUUGGCGAGAGACCGAUAGCGAACAAGUAGCCGUGAGGGAAAGAUGAAAAGAACUUUGAAAAGAGAGUUAAACAGUACGUGAAAUUGUCAAAAGGGAAGCGUUUGACACCAGUGUUGUUUUCUCGAAAAUCAAUUAAAAAUGACUGGAUUUUGUGUUGUAUUGACUCUUAUAAGCUUUCUGCACUUUUUUCAUGUUAUUUUUAAUGCACUUUUCGUUUAACAAGUCAACAUCAAUUUCUUUUGUUGUAAAAAGGGUCAUUGGAAGGUGGCUUUCUUUUCGGAGAAAGUGUUUAUAGCCUUUGACUCCUGCAAUCGGAGAGACUGAGGUCUGCAGCGUAGAUCCUUCUGGGAUUAGAUGCAUUUGUGCUAAGUUAUAGCUUUUCAUAGACAACUUGUUGACUAUGAUUUAGUCAUGUAGCUUACUCGCUUAUGUAUUUUACCUACGCUUAGGAUGUUGAUCUCUCACAGUCGAGC